rnacentral:lncRNA from 10 species
CUGUUGAGGGAGCAAGCUCUCUCCUUCUUUUAAGGUGCAGGACACGGGCGCCAGCCCCAGACUGAGCCUGUCCCUGGCAGAGAGCAAAAGAGGGCGCCGCCUAGAACACAGUCCCCACUUAGAACGCCAGGCGUCUCUGGCAGGCCCUCCCUGGAUAUCCUCUUGUCUGUUUUGUUCGUGGUUCCCUCCCAUACACACCCAAAACACCCUGCCAGGUCCCAGAGAGAAGGGAAGAAACCUAGCCAGGGAGAGCAGAAGCCGGCAGCUGCCUGCGGUUGGCAGGGGCAGGAAGGCUGAGGUGCUGCGGGCUGGUUUAUUUGAGGCAGGACUGGGGCACUGCACCUCCGCUGAGGAUCUGGAGAAGCAGCGGCCCAGAUGUCCCCUUCCUCUACUUCCCUUCCAUGGUCUUAAUUCUCUUUGCCGUCAGGAGCAAAGAGCAGGGCCAGUGGAACCAAGGCACCUCAACCUCACAGUUCCUGGGGUUAGAAGAGGCUGGGAAGAGAGAGGAGGGUGGAGGGUCAGCGGAGAGAGCUGAGGGAGUCAGGUGUCUCUGGUAGGGCUGGAGGAAGUGGGGAACCAAGGAGGAAGUGUGGUUUGUGAGAAAAUGAUUAGCAAGAACCAGAGUCUGCUUGGGUCUGGGUCCCCCAGGACACCCAGUGGGCAGAAGCUUGGGCAUUUGGCUGGCCGGGCUGUGGACAAGGACUAUCAGCCUCAUGUUCCCUCUAGGACCAGAACAGUGUCCUGGUCCCCAGCCCUCUCCUGAUCCCGCUGCCCGCACCGGGCGAAUGUCUGUUCAUAGGUGUGCUGCCAUCCACUCCUCCGUUGCCUGCGGUGGCUGCAGGCCUGAUGCAGCAAGCAGGGACCUGAGAGCCCAGGGGACACAGCCUCAGGUUCAGUAGCCACCCCAGAGGUCCCCAGCUGGCUCUCCAGAAAGAAAGUGCAAGAGGCUGUAGAUGGGGCUACGGAGCACCACACUGAUUGGCCGGGAGAAUUUCUGACAGCCACAGCCGAGGCCUCUGAUUCUCCCUUCCCCGCUGGCGUUCACGGUCACUGCCUCACGGGCCGGCCAGAGGGUGGACCAGCGUAAUUUACGAGGCGGGAGGAGAAUUCACCCUUAAAGGGGCUACCAGCCAUUGAGGUCCCACUCAGCCCCAGUUUCCCAGGCCCGUGAGAAUGAAGGAGGGGGGCGCUCCAGCCCCCCACCCAACUCCCUUCUCUCUUCCUCGCCCGCCCCCCAACAUUGCCCUUUGUCUUCAGAAGGGCUGCCUCCGCCUCCUGGCCUGCAAACCUCCACAGCCUAGCACAUGGACCAGAGCAGAGGGAGGGGCACAGCCCUAGAACCCAUUGGAGGUCUGAGAAUGGCUUCUCUGAGUGGGAAGGACUUUCAUCCAGACUCCUUCAGACCCCAGCCCCAGCCCAGUAGACGCUGGGCUGGCUUGGAAGAGAGGAGCAGUGAGAGAACCAUCAACCUUUCUGUACUUCAUUUUUAUCCUUCUCCCCAAGAGUCCCCCAGCCUCCCAUCUGCUGUCCGGCCCUUUCCAGGAGCAAGAGGGGUGAGAAGCAGGGCACUGAUGGGAGUUAACUGCAGCCUGGACAGUGUGAAACUGGCCUGCUGGCUUGGAGUGUUUCCCAUAUGGGGAGAGUCUCCCCUAACAAACUCUCCAAAGGCAAUCCACCGAGCUUUUUACUCUCCCACCAGCACACAGCUUCUGUACAGGCAGAGGCAAAGGCAAACACAUACACACAGCUGAGCCCAGCACAGCACUGGGCCCACCCCACUCUCCCUAGUGCACUCGCAAGCAGGCAGCCUCAUAAUCCCCACAUGGCCCAGCAGAAUGGAGAUAAAAUCACAUGCCUCCAUCCCCCGCUGGGUAUCUGACACCUGACAAUUCCCCAUCCACACAUACUUGCUUCACCCAUGUACAAGUUCCCCCAAAUUACCACCAUUCCAGCUGUCUGCAGUCUCCUGUGGUCUUCCCCUGGGCAUGAAGCACUCCCCACCUUGACUGGUCACCCACUGUACCCCCUUUAUGCAGCCCUUCCUGUGACCUCUGGGCUCUAGGGUGCUGGAUUUGAGCUCUACCACUCCAGACUAACCUGAUUCCCAAUCUAAUAAUGAAGAGGGACCAGAACACUCUAAAAGGAGUGAGGGGACAAAGAUAUGCAAUAUUCUCUUUCCAUUUGCUUUAAACUUGACUUCUGUGAGGUUCUCUGUCAAUCUGUGUCUUGUUCUCUGUGUCUGUCGCUGGUACCUAGUGUAGUCCCUGUGGAUAGUUGCCCUUCCCCUAGCUGCCUCCCCAGCUCUCUGUAGUGUAAUUCUCCUAUUCCAACGUCUGUCUUUAGCACGUUUUCCCUUUAUAUAGUCCUUGUACAGAGUUGCUUCAUCAUAUUAAUAUUGAUAAUAAUAAUAAUUAAAACAUGAAUUAUG